CCAAACGACUCGGGGUGCCCUUCUGCGUGAAGGCUGAGAAAUACCCGUAUCACCUGAUCUGGAUAAUGCCAGCGUAGUCUGGCCGUUAUCCAUUGAA
rnacentral:misc_RNA from 1 species